rnacentral:snRNA from 1 species
AUGCUCGCUUCAGUAGCACAUAUACUAAAAUUGAAAUGAUACAGAGAAGAUUAGCAUGGCCCCUGCACAAGGAUAACAUGCAAAUUCGUGAAGCGUCCCAUAUUUUU